rnacentral:snRNA from 1 species
AGCUUUGCGCAGUGGCAGUAUCGUAGCCAAUGAGGUUUAUCCGAAGCGCGAUUAUUGCUAAUUGGAAAAAAAAAAAAAAUUUAAAGACAUGGAGUUGAAUAGAUGGCUUAGGAGUUAAGGCGCUUGCCUGCAA